GUGGGUAUAGCUCAGUGGCAGAGCGCGUGCUUAGCAUGCAUGAGGUCCUGGGUUCAAUCCCCAGUCCCUCCA
rnacentral:tRNA from 1 species